rnacentral:rRNA from 2 species
UGAGGAAUAUUGGUCAAUGGACGAGAGUCUGAACCAGCCAAGUAGCGUGAAGGAUGACUGCCCUAUGGGUUGUAAACUUCUUUUAUACGGGAAUAAAGUGAGGCACGUGUGCCUUUUUGUAUGUACCGUAUGAAUAAGGAUCGGCUAACUCCGUGCCAGCAGCCGCGGUAAUACGGAGGAUCCGAGCGUUAUCCGGAUUUAUUGGGUUUAAAGGGAGCGUAGGCGGACGCUUAAGUCAGUUGUGAAAGUUUGCGGCUCAACCGUAAAAUUGCAGUUGAUACUGGGUGUCUUGAGUACAGUAGAGGCAGGCGGAAUUCGUGGUGUAGCGGUGAAAUGCUUAGAUAUCACGAAGAACUCCGAUUGCGAAGGCAGCUUGCUGGACUGUAACUGACGCUGAUGCUCGAAAGUGUGGGUAUCAAACAGGAUUAGAUACCCUGGUAGUCCACACAGUAAACGAUGAAUACUCGCUGUUUGCGAUAUACAGUAAGCGGCCAAGCGAAAGCGUUAAGUAUUCCACCUGGGGAGUACGCCGGCAACGGUGAAACUCAAAGGAAUUGACGGGGGCCCGCACAAGCGGAGGAACAUGUGGUUUAAUUCGAUGAUACGCGAGGAACCUUACCCGGGCUUGAAUUGCAACUGAAUGAUGUGGAGACAUGUCAGCCGCAAGGCAGUUGUGAAGGUGCUGCAUGGUUGUCGUCAGCUCGUGCCGUGAGGUGUCGGCUUAAGUGCCAUAACGAGCGCAACCCUUAUCGAUAGCUACCAUCAGGUUAUGCUGGGGACUCUGUCGAGACUGCCGUCGUAAGAUGUGAGGAAGGUGGGGAUGACGUCAAAUCAGCACGGCCCUUACGUCCGGGGCUACACACGUGUUACAAUGGGGGGUACAGAAGGCAGCUACACGGCGACGUGAUGCUAAUCCCGAAAGCCUCUCUCAGUUCGGAUUGGAGUCUGCAACCCGACUCCAUGAAGCUGGAUUCGCUAGUAAUCGCGCAUCAGCCACGGCGCGGUGAAUACGUUCCC